AUGUCUAGUGGGAGAAAAGCUCUAAUUUGUGGGAACGAGCUUCCAAUGAGAAUCCAUGUUUCGAGAUCAAGUGCAAACCCAGGAAGAAGAUAUUGGAAGUGCAAACUCUGGGGAACAAUGAUGGUUGUCAUCUAUUUCACCGGGAUGACGAACUCUUUAAUGGAAAACAAGUUGAAUCUAGGUCCGAUGGAGGUUGCUAUAAAUGUGAAAACAUGA